UCAGUGAAUCAUCGAAUCUUUGAACGCACAUUGCGCCCUCUGGUAUUCCAGAGGGCAUGCCUGUUCGAGCGUCAU
rnacentral:rRNA from 1 species